rnacentral:rRNA from 1 species
UACGGAGGGGACUAGCGUUGUUCGGAAUUACUGGGCGUAAAGCGCACGUAGGCGGCUUAGCAAGUCGGAUGUGAAAGCCCUCGGCUCAACCAAGGAAGUGCAUCCGAAACUGCUGAGCUUGAGUACUUAAGAGGAUCGCGGAAUUCCCGGUGUAGAGGUGAAAUUCGUAGAUAUCCGGAAGGAACACCAGUGGCGAAGGCGGCCGCCUGGACC